UACGAAGGGGGCUAGCGUUGUUCGGAUUUACUGGGCGUAAAGCGCACGUAGGCGGAUCGUUAAGUCGGGGGUGAAAUCCUGGAGCUCAACUCCAGAACUGCCUUCGAUACUGGCGAUCUUGAGUCCGGAAGAGGUGAGUGGAACUCCUAGUGUAGAGGUGGAAUUCGUAGAUAUUAGGAAGAACACCAGUGGCGAAGGCGGCUCACUGGUCCGGUACUGACGCUGGGGUGCGAAAGCAUGGGGAGCGAACAGG
rnacentral:rRNA from 1 species